UCUGACUCUCAGUCACUUCACAUCUCUAUCAACAUGCUGCUCUCUAUCCUUUCUCUCAUAGCACUGUUGUCAGGAGACACAUCAGCACAGAAAAUUGCACCACUUGUAGAAGAACUGCAUGUUUCAGAGGGAGAUAAUGUUACUCUCUCCUGUAACUACAGUACCAGCCCUAAUGAUGCUCUUCAGUGGUAUCGUCAGUUUCCCAGAUCCAGACCAGAGUUUCUCCUGUACAUUUACUCACAUGGGACUUUGAGUGAUCCUCUUCCUCCUCGUAUGUCUGCUGAAGUUGAAGACAAAAAGCGUGUGGAUCUGAUCAUCUCCUCUGCUGCAGUAUCAGAUUCUGCACUCUACUACUGCGCCCUG